UGGGGAAUUUGGACAAUGGGCGAAGCCUGAUCCAGCAAUGCCGCGUGUGUGAAGAAGGCCUUCGGGUUGUAAAGCACUUUUGUCCGGAAAGAAAUCCUUGGCCUAAUACAGUCGGGGGAUGACGGUACCGGAAGAAUAAGCACCGGCUAACUACGUGCCAGCAGCCGCGGUAAUACGUAGGGUGCAAGCGUUAAUCGGAAUUACUGGGCGUAAAGCGUGCGCAGGCGGUUGCUAAGACCGAUGUGAAAUCCCCGGGCUCAACCUGGGAACUGCAUUGGUGACUGGCAGGCUAGAGUAUGGCAGAGGGGGGUAGAAUUCCACGUGUAGCAGUGAAAUGCGUAGAGAUGUGGAGGAAUACCGAUGGCGAAGGCAGCCCCCUGGGCCAAUACUGACGCUCAUGCACGAAAGCGUGGGGAGC
rnacentral:rRNA from 1 species